CACUUGGAAAUUGGUUCAGCUUAACCAGGUUAGACUACCCUGUAACAGUUGAAUCAAUUCAGGCUCAGGCUUUUUGAAUGUCUGUCCCUAGUCUAAGAGAAAAUGAUCAUGAAAUUCAACCCCGUUUAUGGGUUUGUGGUUCAGC